UACGGAGGAUCCGAGCGUUAUCCGGAUUUAUUGGGUUUAAAGGGUGCGCAGGCGGGAGAUUAAGUCGGCGGUGAAAUUUUGCAGCUCAACUGUAAAAGUGCCUUCGAAACUGGUUUCCUUGAGUGUAGAUGAAGUAGGCGGAAUUUGUGGUGUAGCGGUGAAAUGCAUAGAUAUCACGAGGAACUCCGAUUGCGCAGGCAGCUUACUAAACCAUAACUGACGCUCAGGCACGAAGGCGUGGGGAUCAAACAGGAUUAGAUACCCGUGUA
rnacentral:rRNA from 1 species